GCCUGGGUAGCUCAGUAGGUUGGGCGACCGACUUCAGCUCAGGCCAUGAUCUCACGGUCUGUGGGUUCGAGCCCCACAUUGGGCU
rfam:Felis catus isolate Cinnamon breed Abyssinian chromosome D3, whole genome shotgun sequence.